rnacentral:rRNA from 2 species
ACUGCGUACCUUUUGUAUAAUGGGUCAGCGACUUAUAUUCUGUAGCAAGGUUAACCGAAUAGGGGAGCCGGAGGGAAACCGAGUCUUAAUUGGGCGUUAAGUUGCAGGGUAUAGACCCGAAACCCGGUGAUCUAGCCAUGGGCAGGUUGAAGGUUGGGUAACACUAACUGGAGGACCGAACCGACUAAUGUUGAAAAAUUAGCGGAUGACCUGUGGCUGGGGGUGAAAGGCCAAUCAAACCGGGAGAUAGCUGGUUCUCCCCGAAAGCUAUUUAGGUAGCGCCUCGUGAAUUCAUCUCCGGGGGUAGAGCACUGUUUCGGCUAGGGGGCCAUCCCGGCUUACCAACCCGAUGCAAACUGCGAAUACCGGAGAAUGUUAUCACGGGAGACACACGGCGGGUGCUAACGUCCGUCGUGAAGAGGGAAACAACCCAGACCGCCAGCUAAGGUCCCAAAGUCAUGGUUAAGUGGGAAACGAUGUGGGAAGGCCCAGACAGCCAGGAUGUUGGCUUAGAAGCAGCCAUCAUUUAAAGAAAGCGUAAUAGCUCACUGGUCGAGUCGGCCUGCGCGGAAGAUGUAACGGGGCUAAACCAUGCACCGAAGCUGCGGCAGCGACGCUGAUGCGUUGUUGGGUAGGGGAGCGUUCUGUAAGCCUGCGAAGGUGGCCUGUGAGGGUUGCUGGAGGUAUCAGAAGUGCGAAUGCUGACAUAAGUAACGAUAAAGCGGGUGAAAAGCCCGCUCGCCGGAAGACCAAGGGUUCCUGUCCAACGUUAAUCGGGGCAGGGUGAGUCGACCCCUAAGGCGAGGCCGAAAGGCGUAGUCGAUGGGAAACGGGUUAAUAUUCCCGUACUUGGUGUUACUGCGAAGGGGGGACGGAGAAGGCUAUGUUGGCCGGGCGACGGUUGUCCCGGUUUAAGCGUGUAGGUGUGUGUUCCAGGUAAAUCCGGUU